rnacentral:rRNA from 1 species
UACGUAGGGGGCAAGCGUUGUCCGGAAUCAUUGGGCGUAAAGCGCGUGUAGGCGGCUCGGUAAGUCUGCUGUGAAAGUCCAGGGCUCAACCCUGGGAUGCCGGUGGAUACUGUCGAGCUCGAGUCCGGAAGAGGCGAGUGGAAUUCCUGGUGUAGCGGUGAAAUGCGCAGAUAUCAGGAGGAACACCAAUGGCGAAGGCAGCUUUCUGGGACGGUACUGACGCUGAGACGCGAAAGCGUGGGGAGCGAACAGG